GGUUAAGCGACUAAGCGUACACGGUGGAUGCCCUGGCAGUCAGAGGCGAUGAAGGACGUGCUAAUCUGCGAUAAGCGUCGGUAAGGUGAUAUGAACCGUUAUAACCGGCGAUUUCCGAAUGGGGAAACCCAGUGUGAUUCGUCACACUAUCAUUAACUGAAUCCAUAGGUUAAUGAGGCGAACCGGGGGAACUGAAACAUCUAAGUACCCCGAGGAAAAGAAAUCAACCGAGAUUCCCCCAGUAGCGGCGAGCGAACGGGGAGGAGCCCAGAGCCUGAAUCAGUGUGUGUGUUAGUGGAAGCGUCUGGAAAGGCGCGCGAUACAGGGUGACAGCCCCGUACACAAAAAUGCACAUGCUGUGAGCUCGAUGAGUAGGGCGGGACACGUGGUAUCCUGUCUGAAUAUGGGGGGACCAUCCUCCAAGGCUAAAUACUCCUGACUGACCGAUAGUGAACCAGUACCGUGAGGGAAAGGCGAAAAGAACCCCGGCGAGGGGAGUGAAAAAGAACCUGAAACCGUGUACGUACAAGCAGUGGGAGCACAGAGCAAUCUGUGUGACUGCGUACCUUUUGUAUAAUGGGUCAGCGACUUAUAUUCUGUAGCAAGGUUAACCGAAUAGGGGAGCCGAAGGGAAACCGAGUCUUAACCGGGCGUUAAGUUGCAGGGUAUAGACCCGAAACCCGGUGAUCUAGCCAUGGGCAGGUUGAAGGUUGGGUAACACUAACUGGAGGACCGAACCGACUAAUGUUGAAAAAUUAGCGGAUGACUUGUGGCUGGGGGUGAAAGGCCAAUCAAACCGGGAGAUAGCUGGUUCUCCCCGAAAGCUAUUUAGGUAGCGCCUCGUGAAUUCAUCUCCGGGGGUAGAGCACUGUUUCGGCAAGGGGGUCAUCCCGACUUACCAACCCGAUGCAAACUGCGAAUACCGGAGAAUGUUAUCACGGGAGACACACGGCGGGUGCUAACGUCCGUCGUGAAGAGGGAAACAACCCAGACCGCCAGCUAAGGUCCCAAAGUCAUGGUUAAGUGGGAAACGAUGUGGGAAGGCCCAGACAGCCAGGAUGUUGGCUUAGAAGCAGCCAUCAUUUAAAGAAAGCGUAAUAGCUCACUGGUCGAGUCGGCCUGCGCGGAAGAUGUAACGGGGCUAAACCAUGCACCGAAGCUGCGGCAGCGACACUGUGUGUUGUUGGGUAGGGGAGCGUUCUGUAAGCCUGUGAAGGUGUGCUGUGAGGCAUGCUGGAGGUAUCAGAAGUGCGAAUGCUGACAUAAGUAACGAUAAAGCGGGUGAAAAGCCCGCUCGCCGGAAGACCAAGGGUUCCUGUCCAACGUUAAUCGGGGCAGGGUGAGUCGACCCCUAAGGCGAGGCCGAAAGGCGUAGUCGAUGGGAAACAGGUUAAUAUUCCUGUACUUGGUGUUACUGCGAAGGGGGGACGGAGAAGGCUAUGUUGGCCGGGCGACGGUUGUCCCGGUUUAAGCGUGUAGGCUGGUUUUCCAGGCAAAUCCGGAAAAUCAAGGCUGAGGCGUGAUGACGAGGCACUACGGUGCUGAAGCAACAAAUGCCCUGCUUCCAGGAAAAGCCUCUAAGCAUCAGGUAACAUCAAAUCGUACCCCAAACCGACACAGGUGGUCAGGUAGAGAAUACCAAGGCGCUUGAGAGAACUCGGGUGAAGGAACUAGGCAAAAUGGUGCCGUAACUUCGGGAGAAGGCACGCUGAUAUGUAGGUGAAGUCCCUCGCGGAUGGAGCUGAAAUCAGUCGAAGAUACCAGCUGGCUGCAACUGUUUAUUAAAAACACAGCACUGUGCAAACACGAAAGUGGACGUAUACGGUGUGACGCCUGCCCGGUGCCGGAAGGUUAAUUGAUGGGGUCAGCGCAAGCGAAGCUCUUGAUCGAAGCCCCGGUAAACGGCGGCCGUAACUAUAACGGUCCUAAGGUAGCGAAAUUCCUUGUCGGGUAAGUUCCGACCUGCACGAAUGGCGUAAUGAUGGCCAGGCUGUCUCCACCCGAGACUCAGUGAAAUUGAACUCGCUGUGAAGAUGCAGUGUACCCGCGGCAAGACGGAAAGACCCCGUGAACCUUUACUAUAGCUUGACACUGAACAUUGAGCCUUGAUGUGUAGGAUAGGUGGGAGGCUUUGAAGUGUGGACGCCAGUCUGCAUGGAGCCGACCUUGAAAUACCACCCUUUAAUGUUUGAUGUUCUAACGUGGACCCGUGAUCCGGGUUGCGGACAGUGUCUGGUGGGUAGUUUGACUGGGGCGGUCUCCUCCUAAAGAGUAACGGAGGAGCACGAAGGUUGGCUAAUCCUGGUCGGACAUCAGGAGGUUAGUGCAAUGGCAUAAGCCAGCUUGACUGCGAGCGUGACGGCGCGAGCAGGUGCGAAAGCAGGUCAUAGUGAUCCGGUGGUUCUGAAUGGAAGGGCCAUCGCUCAACGGAUAAAAGGUACUCCGGGGAUAACAGGCUGAUACCGCCCAAGAGUUCAUAUCGACGGCGGUGUUUGGCACCUCGAUGUCGGCUCAUCACAUCCUGGGGCUGAAGUAGGUCCCAAGGGUAUGGCUGUUCGCCAUUUAAAGUGGUACGCGAGCUGGGUUUAGAACGUCGUGAGACAGUUCGGUCCCUAUCUGCCGUGGGCGCUGGAGAACUGAGGGGGGCUGCUCCUAGUACGAGAGGACCGGAGUGGACGCAUCACUGGUGUUCGGGUUGUCAUGCCAAUGGCACUGCCCGGUAGCUAAAUGCGGAAGAGAUAAGUGCUGAAAGCAUCUAAGCACGAAACUUGCCCCGAGAUGAGUUCUCCCUGACCCUUUAAGGGUCCUGAAGGAACGUUGAAGACGACGACGUUGAUAGGCCGGGUGUGUAAGCGCAGCGAUGCGUUGAGCUAACCGGUACUAAUGAACCGUGAGGCUUAACCUU
rnacentral:rRNA from 4 species